UAGCAUGAAGUCUGACAA
rnacentral:rRNA from 1 species